AUGGAGUCUGGGCUGAGCUGGUUUUUCCGGGUGGCUGUGUUAGGAGGGGUCCAGUGUGAGGUGCAGUUGGUGGAGUCUGGGGGAGACUUGGUGCAGCCUGGGGAGUCCCUGAGACUCUCCUGUGAAGCCUCUGGAUUAAAUUUUGGCGGCACUUCAAUGAACUGGGUCCGCCAGGCUCCAGGCAAGGUCCUAGAGUGGAUUUCACACUUUAGCACUGAUGGUAGUACAAAGUAUGCCGACUCUGUGAAGGGCAGAUUCACCAUCUCCAGAGACAACAGCAAGAACACACUCUAUCUUCAAAUGAGCAGCCUGAGGGAGGAGGACACAGCCCUGUACUACUGUGUGAGAACACAGUGA